GCUGCGGGUGUGUGCUUUGUGACAAUGAGAUUCGGUUCGAUAUCAUCCCCUUGUUGCAAACCUCACGCUUGCGGU
rnacentral:pre_miRNA from 11 species